rnacentral:rRNA from 1 species
UCCUAAGGUAGCGAAAUUCCUUGUCGGGUAAGUUCCGACCUGCACGAAUGGCGUAAUGAUGGCCAGGCUGUCUCCACCCGAGACUCAGUGAAAUUGAACUCGCUGUGAAGAUGCAGUGUACCCGCGGCAAGACGGAAAGACCCCGUGAACCUUUACUAUAGCUUGACACUGAACAUUGAGCCUUGAUGUGUAGGAUAGGUGGGAGGCUUUGAAGUGUGGACGCCAGUCUGCAUGGAGCCGACCUUGAAAUACCACCCUUUAAUGUUUGAUGUUCUAACGUUGACCCGUAAUCCGGGUUGCGGACAGUGUCUGGUGGGUAGUUUGACUGGGGCGGUCUCCUCCUAAAGAGUAACGGAGGAGCACGAAGGUUGGCUAAUCCUGGUCGGACAUCAGGAGGUUAGUGCAAUGGCAUAAGCCAGCUUGACUGCGAGCGUGACGGCGCGAGCAGGUGCGAAAGCAGGUCAUAGUGAUCCGGUGGUUCUGAAUGGAAGGGCCAUCGCUCAACGGAUAAAAGGUACUCCGGGGAUAACAGGCUGAUACCGCCCAAGAGUUCAUAUCGACGGCGGUGUUUGGCACCUCGAUGUCGGCUCAUCACAUCCUGGGGCUGAAGUAGGUCCCAAGGGUAUGGCUGUUCGCCAUUUAAAGUGGUACGCGAGCUGGGUUUAGAACGUCGUGAGACAGUUCGGUCCCUAUCUGCCGUGGGCGCUGGAGAACUGAGGGGGGCUGCUCCUAGUACGAGAGGACCGGAGUGGACGCAUCACUGGUGUUCGGGUUGUCAUGCCAAUGGCACUGCCCGGUAGCUAAAUGCGGAAGAGAUAAGUGCUGAAAGCAUCUAAGCACGAAACUUGCCCCGAGAUGAGUUCUCCCUGACUCCUUGAGAGUCCUGAAGGAACGUUGAAGACGACGACGUUGAUAGGCCGGGUGUGUAAGCGCAGCGAUGCGUUGAGCUAACCGGUACUAAUGAACCGUGAGG